AGCAUGCUGGGAUUGAUUUGUGAUGUCUGCCACGAAUAUAAGAUUGGCCAUUUGGGGCAUGAAUGCUAUUCAUGGAUUGGAUCUCCUAAGAGCCCGAAUUUCUGAGAAACCACUGAAGACCUGACCCUAAUGCUUAAUUAUUUCUCCUUUCCAAGCAUCUCUCAUGGAAGGCAUUUUGGAUGAAAAGACCUUUGGCAGCAUGGGUUUUGCAGGGACCGUCUGGUACCAGGAACUGGCCAAAUGUGAAGGUGUAAAACACAAAGUUCACACCCUCAAGAACCUUCUAGUCCAGUGGGGGAGAUGGACCCAGAACGUCAGAUUAAGAUUGGUCUGCAUCAGCCCAAAUGGUUCCAUGUUCUUCUUUUUAACGGCUGCAUAGUACUCCUUUGCAUGGAUGCACCACAGUUCAUUUAACCAGAGUCCUGUUGGCAGGCAUUUCAGAUGUUUGCAAUUUUCCCAUGAGACCAACACCACUGUGAUCAGCAUCCUGUUGCUGUGUGAAAAGUCCAGGCUAGCCUGCUGGAGGAUGAGUGAUGGGUGAAGCAGAGAUGAAUUUUCAGAGCUGGCUUCAUCUGAGACCAGCCAGCCCUAGCUGUGGAAGGCAGACACUUAGCAAGCCCAGCCAAGAUCAGCCAAGCCCAUCCCAGGGCAGAAGAACCACCAAGCUGAUCCCAGUCCAAAUCUACUUCUGGAAGCACGUGCUAAAUAAAUGGUUGCUGUUUUAAGCCACUGAGCUAUGGGAUGCUUUGUUUCCCAGCAAUAACUAAUUGACAAAUCAUCA
rnacentral:lncRNA from 1 species